AACGCACGAGACCUGCGGACCUGCGGAAGGAUCAUCAUUGAAUCAUAUCUUUUUUUCAAGUUUGGAAGGGGGAGAGGGAGAGUUUUCUCUCUUUUGAUCUUCUGGCUUGGGAAAACAAACAACUUUGAUACCCAAAAAGAGUCGUAUUAUCUUUCCUGCUUUUGGUCUCUUCGGUGUUUUUUGAAGCUUUUCCGGCUUAUUUAUUUGGGUUGGUUUUGCUGUGGGAGGCCCGGGAGAGAA
rnacentral:misc_RNA from 1 species